GAAAUAAGACCUUGUAGAGCUUGACUCUAGUCUGGCACAGUGAAGAGCCUUGAGAAGUGUAUAAUAAAUGAGAGGCUCCCAGCACCCCCUUACCCUGCAUACCAACCUUGAAGGGGUGGAAUGGGGCAGCCUUGUGGGCCACCUGUAAAUACCAGUACUCUUACUGUUGUUUUACUGACUCAGUAAGGGGAGUGAGUCCCAAGGGGCUCUUGCUUCCAUCUCCAAGCACCUGGUCACACUAGCCAGGCACAACCCACUCCAGGGACAAUGCCAGGCAGAGAGUUGAACUGGUAUUGUACACCAGUGAAACAGUAAGGCAGGUGUCCUAAGUCAAACUCAGAGAGGACAGACCUCCUUUGGGGCUAAAGAACAAAGGCUCACCUGAUCCUGAUUUUCACAUUCACAGAAUGUGAAAGUGAGGCCUCACACACACUCAAAUAAUAAUAAAAACAUAGGAGAAGCAGAGGGAAGGUAAGGUUCUUAUCAUGGCCCUGAAAGAUGGAGAACUCAAGUACUAAUUGGAAAAUUUUGCC
rnacentral:ncRNA from 1 species